UACGAAGGGGACUAGCGUUGUUCGGAUUUACUGGGCGUGAAGCGCGCGUAGGCGGAUCGCUAAGUCAGGGGUGAAAUCCCAGGGCUCAACCCUGGAACUGCCUUUGAUACUGACGAUCUGGAGAUCGGGAGAGGUUGGUGGAAUUCCGAGUGUAGAGGUGAAAUUCGUAGAUAUUCGCAAGAACACCAGUGGCGAAGGCGGCUCACUGGCCCGGUACUGACGCUGAGGUGCGAAAGCGUGGGGAGCAAACAGG
rnacentral:rRNA from 1 species